CUCAGGGAAAAAUACUGCCGUAAUCAUCAUAACCUUAAAAUAAAACAAAGUUAAAAUUUUAUAAACAAAGAUUGGUGGAGGGAGGAGUCAGAGGCAGGAGUCUUUACGUGUGUCUUUAAACUGGCUGUCGGCAUCGACAUACCAUGAAAAUACAAAAAAUAAAAAAAUCAACAGAAUCGGGCUCUCGCUUCUUGGUGCUGAGUGCUGUCAGUGCAUCGAGUGCGCGUGCACCGACCGCCCUGACGAUGUAGGGUGCCCAUGACUCACGCCUUUGUUCAAGAUAUGGUGUGAAAGGCUACAUGACAGUGUGACGUCAGUAUACAUAUAAGGGGCGGUUG